CGCCUGUCGGGGAGUGGACUUUGCGGGAGAGGUUGCCCCCCAGUCUGAAGCCCCAAAGGCCUGGUGCUUGAGGACCCAGCCGUCUAAUGACACUCAUCGCUUUACUCUCCCCAUCUUUAGCCUGAAGAGCGGCCCCGAGCAGUCUCGGCGGUUUAGGUCACAGAGGGGAACGGAAACGUGCGUGAAUGUGGCGGCGGCCAACGAAGCUGCAAGGACAUGGCUGGCGCGCGGCCCAGGAGCAGGGAAGGGCCGGUGUUAGAGGCGGGACAGUGACGGGGGCGGGGCUAGGGGCGGGGCUAGAAGCCGGGCUAGCGCGAGGAUUGGCUGAAAGAGGCGCGGAGGGUGGCUGUUGCCAGGAAAAGGAGCGGGACCUCAGGGUUCUCAUCCCUCUCCAUGGAUUCCUGAGCAAACAAGGUGGCUGUGUCCCUCCUGCUGACCCUGGCCCUGACCUGACACUGUGAAUUGGGUUCAGACACAGUUUUAUCCCCUGCUCUUAAGGACUCCACAUUCCAGUAGAGACCAUCCUCAGAGAAGACCCCCACCCACUAACACCUUCACCUGAGAACUCCUCUGAAGAUGGUAAAGAUCUAUCCCACACAUACAGCUGCUAGACCAAUUCCUGACCAUCCCAACUGGUAAAAUUGGAAUCGGGCUGCUUCCAAUGACCAUCUUGUCUACAUCAAAAGAUACCACCCACAAAUGUUCACCCAGAUGCUUGAAGAAGGGAGGUGAGAAUGAGAGAGCAAUCAAGGAUAGAUGAAAACCACAGCGACAUACUUUUUUUUUUUUGGCCAACCGGCCUGGCUAAAAUAAAAAGACUUGAUACACUAAGUUGGCUGUGAUGUGGGGAAAUAGUCACAUUUGUCACUGGUGGAAGGGAAGAUUAGUACCACUGUAACAGAAGAUAAUUUGGGCUGCUUUCUCCACAUGUAAAAUGCACAUGGACUUUGGCCCCACACCUCCACCACCAGGGAUAAAUCCUGUGUGUGCACUUGGGCACGUGCAUACACUGACACGUGCCCAUCCUUACGUAUGAGUAAUGUUCAUUCCAUCAUUGUUUACAUUCACAAAGCACUAGGGAAACCUGAAAGUCCACUCACAGGGACUGGUUAAAUUAAUUGUGCUUUAACCACCCCAGGGACUAAUGUGCAGUCUUCACAUAUUGAACUCUGAGAUCUAAGUGAGCAAAGCAAGUGCAGAACCACAUAGACUUGGCUGCGUUUGUAUUUGUAAAAAGGCAGGAUGUGUACCCCUAUGGAUAUACUACCUGGAGGGGUACGCAGGAAACUGGGAAUGGUGAUUGCACCGUGGGUGGGAGAUACUUCGCUGUAGACUCUUUAGUUCUGCUCAUUUUUUUGUUAACCAUGCAUCAUAGGCAAAUCCUUAAGAGACAGAAAGCAGACGGAUGGUUACCAGGGGCUAGAGUCAUGGGAGAUCGGAGAGUUGCUACUUAAUGGGUAUGAGGUUUCCUUUUGGGGUGAUGUAAAGUUCUGAAACCAAAUAGAGAUCACGGUCAGACAACAUUGUGAAUGUACUAAAUGCCACUGGAUUGCUCACUUUAAAGUGGCUAAAAUGUUAAAUCUUUUGUGAUGUAUCUUUCACUACAAUAAAAAACACAUGUAUGUAUUUUUCAAGAAAGGUAAAAGAUAAGAAAAAA